GCGUUGAUGGUGUAGUGGUAGCAUUGUCGCUGCGCGACAACCCAGGUUCGAUUCCUGAUCCGGCGCC